UACGGGGGGGCAAGCGUUGUUCGGAAUUACUGGGCGUAAAGGGCUCGUAGGUGGCCAACUAAGUCAUACGUGAAAUCCCUCGGCUUAACCGGGGAACUGCGUCUGAUACUGGAUGGCUUGAGGUUGGGAGAGGGAUGCGGAAUUCCAGGUGUAGCGGUGAAAUGCGUAGAUAUCUGGAGGAACACCGGUGGCGAAGGCGGCAUCCUGGACCGACACUGACGCUGAGGAGCGAAAGCCAGGGGAGCAAACGGG
rnacentral:rRNA from 1 species